GUUUAUAAAUGUUGCCUCAGGUAAAUUUCUUUUUUAAUGUUUUUAAAAUCAGUUCUUUUGAAUGGCUCAUAUGCUGUGUUUGAGUUGAUUAUGUAUUACACUUGCACUCUGUAAUUCAUUCAGUAAUCACAUUAAUGUAAUCACACUGUUCACAUCUGCACUAUUUGGGGAAAUAAUAGCAAUAUGAAGAUUACAGUAGCUCUAGCCCUGAAAUGUUACUAAAGUUUUUGUGCUUAUUUUCUUUUUUCUAUGGAGUUGUCUCUCCACAAUAAACGGGGUCUGGUCUUCCCAAUAACCAGAGAGUGGAAUGAGAUCGGUCUGUAAUGGUGGGGUAAUCUAAUUGUAGAAUUUCACAAAAUAAAACUUGUUUAAGCAAGAUUUAUAAAUGAUGCAUAACUUAAGGAUGGUUUUAUUCAGCGAGCAUACAGCGGACUAGAUUGUGCUGCAAGGAACACACAUACAUGAAUGCGAUAUAGAUGCUUAUAAUCAUAAACUCAUGACAGCAGCCCAUGGGAGAAGACGUUUCUGCAGCCUGUUAGAGAUCCGAAUCGAAUCAAGCCGUUUAUAUAUAACCACCCUCAAGGUUUCUUCACAUAUCGUUGACUGAGCAGAACUUGAAGAAAGUUGGUGGAGCCAUUAACAUUGCCAUGGACCGACCCUUCCCAGCAACAACCUAAAACAACCGAAGUCAACCUACGCCCACCCACUACAAGCUACGACAAGGUACGACCCUGUUGGCGACAACGGAAGACAACUGAAGACAAUUCAGUCGCCGGUACCUGUCGCUGGUUGACGUAGGUAGUCGCCAAUGAAAUUUACCAAAGUCAGCCCCGGCGGCAACCUAUGUCACCUGGCGACAACCAGCACCAACGUCAGGAGUAGUCGAGCUACGCUCAUUGGCAUCAACCCAUUGGCGCCGACUGUUGCUGUAAAUUUUUGAACAUGUUGAAAAUCCAGCGGCGACCAGAAAGACACUACGACUCUUUGGGCGACGGAGACGACUCACGACCAUACAGGCAACACCCCGGCGACCAUGUGGCGACAGCCUAGUUGCCUGUAGUCGCCUAAAAAAAAAGCCCGUGGGACAGGCCCUUAAGGUUCCUAAUUUUGUGGCAAUUUUCAACCAGUGUAUUAAUUGAAACACACUACUGUCAUGGUAACACUGAUAGAUUUAUCAUACUGCUGUAAAUGUAAAUAAAACACAUAAGUUGUUGUUUCUGUA